GACGAACGCUGGCGGCGUGCUUAACACAUGCAAGUCGAACGGAAAGGCCUGCAGCUUGCUGCGGGUACUCGAGUGGCGAACGGGUGAGUAACACGUGGGUGAUCUGCCUUGCACUUCGGGAUAAGCUUGGGAGACUGGGUCUAAUACCGGAUAGGACAGCUGUUUAGUGUCAGUUGUGGAAAGUUUUUUCGGUGCAAGAUGAGCUCGCGGCCUAUCAGCUUGUUGGUGGGGUAAUGGCCUACCAAGGCGUCGACGGGUAGCCGGCCUGAGAGGGUGUACGGCCACAUUGGGACUGAGAUACGGCCCAGACUCCUACGGGAGGCAGCAGUGGGGAAUAUUGCACAAUGGGCGGAAGCCUGAUGCAGCGACGCCGCGUGGGGGAUGAAGGCCUUCGGGUUGUAAACUCCUUUCGACAGGGACGAAGCUUUUGUGACGGUACCUGUAUAAGAAGCACCGGCUAACUACGUG
rnacentral:rRNA from 1 species